AGCGUACGCUGGCGGCAGGCCUAACACAUGCAAGUCGAACGAACUCUUCGGAGUUAGUGGCGGACGGGUGAGUAACACGUGGGAACGUGCCUUUAGGUUCGGAAUAACUCAGGGAAACUUGUGCUAAUACCGAAUGUGCCCUUCGGGGGAAAGAUUUAUCGCCUUUAGAGCGGCCCGCGUCUGAUUAGCUAGUUGGUGAGGUAAAGGCUCACCAAGGCGACGAUCAGUAGCUGGUCUGAGAGGAUGAUCAGCCACAUUGGGACUGAGACACGGCCCAAACUCCUACGGGAGGCAGCAGUGGGGAAUCUUGCGCAAUGGGCGAAAGCCUGACGCAGCCAUGCCGCGUGAAUGAUGAAGGUCUUAGGAUUGUAAAAUUCUUUCACCGGGGACGAUAAUGACGGUAGUCGGAGAAGAAGCCCCGGCUAACUUCGUGCCAGCCGCCGCGGUAA
rnacentral:rRNA from 1 species